rnacentral:rRNA from 1 species
UACGUAGGGGGCAAGCGUUGUCCGGAUUUACUGGGCGUAAAGAGCGCGCAGGCGGUUGGGCAAGUCGCGUGUGAAAGCCCCCGGCUCAACUGGGGAGGGUCACGCGAUACUGUUCGACUUGAAGGCAGGAGAGGGAAGUGGAAUUCCCGGUGUAGUGGUGAAAUGCGUAGAUAUCGGGAGGAACACCAGUGGCGAAGGCGACUUCCUGGCCUGUUCUUGACGCUGAGGCGCGAAAGCUAGGGUAGCAAACGGG